AAAUAUCAUCUCCGGAUCGUGACCACGGAUGUACUGGCACGGUUCGUCGAGAUGGCAGGGAAGGUCGGGUUAGCCCGGCCUUUUUUAUU
rnacentral:sRNA from 1 species